UCCUACNGGGGGGGSWGCCAGUAGGGAAUCUUCCGCAAUGGGCGAAAGCCUGACGGAGCAAUGCCGCGUGAGUGAUGAAGGUUUUCGGAUCGUAAAGCUCUGUUGCCAGGGAAGAACGCUUGGGAGAGUAACUGCUCUCAAGGUGACGGUACCUGAGAAGAAAGCCCCGGCUAACUACGUGCCAGCAGCCGCGGUAAUACGUAGGGGGCAAGCGUUGUCCGGAAUUAUUGGGCGUAAAGCGCGCGCAGGCGGUCAUUUAAGUCUGGUGUUUAAUCCCGGGGCUCAACCCCGGAUCGCACUGGAAACUGGGUGACUUGAGUGCAGAAGAGGAGAGUGGAAUUCCACGUGUAGCGGUGAAAUGCGUAGAUAUGUGGAGGAACACCAGUGGCGAAGGCGACUCUCUGGGCUGUAACUGACGCUGAGGCGCGAAAGCGUGGGGAGCAAACAGGAUUAGAUCCCNCCKGGAAGUCAA
rnacentral:rRNA from 1 species